GUGUCGUUGGAGCUCUGGUCUUGCGCAGAUCGCGGCGGGCGAGACCUUUGUUAACCCCCCCGCCCCCCUCCGUGCUGCAGCCUCUAGGUGACUGACUGAGAUCAAGGCUCUUAUCGUACUGAGCAUGGCCCUGUUCUGCCAGGCACUGAAGAGACCCCAGGUGACAUCAGACUCCACUGUUGUGCCAGGGGCCGGUGACCUUCGAGGAGGUGGCUGUGUAUUUCACCAGAGAAGAGUGGUCUCUGCUGGACCCCACUUAGAGAGCCCUCUACAGAGAUGUCAUGCAGGAGAACUAUGAGACAGUAGUUUUUCUGGUUGGUUUUCCAGUUUCCAAACCUGAUGUGAUCUCGCAGCUGGAAUGAGGGGAAGAGCUGUGGGUCCCAGACUUUCAGGGCUCUGAGAAAGAAGUGCUUCCAAGAGCUAGCUUCACAGGGAGUGACCUAUAUCUGGAUUCUAUCUGUCUCCCAUCAGGUGAUGAGAUGUUGAGUCAGCAUGAGGAGAAGAAACCCCAUCAGGAAGAUGCUGAGCAAGGAGAACCAUAUGGAACAUUAUCAGGAAGAUCCAAAGGGAAUGUUUCUGAGAGUUGUGCACUCUCAAAAAAACAAAAGCCUGUGAGACUCAGCAGAGGCCAGAGGAAAACUGUAGUAGCCACUCAGACCUUAUAACAAGUGACAGAAUCAACUUGGAAGAGACACACUGCAUGUGCCAUGAGUGCAAGAAAAGCUUCAAUCAGAGCUCUGCCCUUAUCACACAUCAGACAGUCCACAUGGGUGAAAAAUCUUAUGAAUGCUCUGAGUGUGGGAAAAGCUUCAGUCAGCACUC